GGAGAGUUGCAGAGAUUUGAUUUGAUUUUUUGAUUUUUUUUCUUGUUACCCGAAAAUAUUUGGUCGCACCGGUGCAACCAAAUUUUUUUAUUUUAUUUUUUUUUUUAGUCGCACCACUGAAAAAUUUGGUCGCAUUUGCGAACAAAUUGAUCGCACUCUAGAGCCCUGCGUUUGUGUUAAUGUUCCAUCUCUGCCAAAAAGGUGGGGGAUUUUGGUGUGUUUACUGCUUGCAUCGACACAAAGGAAAAUAACAGUCUCAGAUUGCAGUGCUACUAUCAAGACUGUUCACACCCUCCCUAUAAACCCUUCAGCUGUAAAUUCAAGACAUCGAAUGGAGGUAUACUAGCUACAAUGAAAAACGUGAUGUGCAAGAAUUACACUGUCCCAUUAACAGAACACAGUCCUGGCGAGUUGCAAGAGACUGGUAAUGUGACAAACUUCACAUGCACACUGACAAGAAACAAGAGGACUGAAACGAAGAACAUCACCAUAGACUACAAGACACAAAAAGAAAAACAACGAAUCCCAAAGUGCUGUGCUGCAAGCCCAACCUCCCUGUGGCCUGUGGUGCUCCUCACUCUGUGGAGAGUGGUUGACUCCUGAUGAAGGAAGCAUGAAGGACUGUCUCUGACCGCUUUGACUAACACAGAUGUAUCUGUUCCAUUUAGCCAUUUUAAAAUUUAAGAAACUUUCUAAAAUACAUUUCUAUGCAGGCUUCCAUUACUUGCUUGAUCCCCAAGUACAUGCAGUAAUGCAGUAUGUUAACAUAUAAACUGAAUUCCAAC
ensembl:lncRNA